rnacentral:rRNA from 1 species
UACAGAGGGUGCAAGCGUUGUUCGGAAUUAUUGGGCGUAAAGCGCGUGUAGGCGGCUUUGCAAGUCGGGUGUGAAAGCCCUCAGCUCAACUGAGGAAGUGCGCCCGAAACUGCAGAGCUUGAGUGCCGGAGAGGGUGGCGGAAUUCCCCCAAGUAGAGGUGAAAUUCGUAGAUAUGGGGGAGGAACACCGGUGGCGAAGGCGGCC